rnacentral:rRNA from 1 species
UACGUAUGGUGCAAGCGUUAUCCGGAUUUACUGGGUGUAAAGGGUGCGUAGGUGGUAUGGCAAGUCAGAAGUGAAAGGCUGGGGCUCAACCCCGGGACUGCUUUUGAAACUGUCAAACUAGAGUACAGGAGAGGAAAGCGGAAUUCCUAGUGUAGCGGUGAAAUGCGUAGAUAUUAGGAGGAACACCAGUGGCGAAGGCGGCUUUCUGGACUGAAACUGACACUGAGGCACGAAAGCGUGGGGAGCAAACAGGAUUAGAUACCCGUGUAGGCUGACUGACU